rnacentral:misc_RNA from 1 species
GAUGAAGAACGCAGCGAAAUGCGAUACUUGGUGUGAAUUGCAGAAUCCCGUGAACCAUCGAGUCUUUGAACGCAAGUUGCGCCCGAAGCCUCGGCUAAGGGCACGUCUGCCUGGGCGUCACGCAUCGCGUCUCCCCCAAACCGCCAAGGCGGAGGGGAAGGAAGAUGGCUUCCCGUGCCUCACCCGGCGCGGUUGGCCUAAAUUUGGAGCCCGCGGCACUUAGCUCUCGUGGCGAUAGGUGGUGAACAAGGCCUUGGCCGUGCAAACAACCCGCUGCAAAUCUCUAUGUCACGUGCGCUCGUCGGACCCUUUGAUGUUGCCUUCGGUGACUUAAAACCUUUGCGACCCCAGGUCAGGCGGGGCUACCCGCUGAAUUUAAGCAUAUCAAUAAGCGGAGGA